UACGUAGGGUGCGAGCGUUAAUCGGAAUUACUGGGCGUAAAGCGUGCGCAGGCGGUUCGUCGUGUCUGAUGUGAAAGCCCCGGGCUCAACCUGGGAAUGGCAUUGGAAACUGGCGGACUAGAGUGUGGCAGAGGGGGGUGGAAUUCCGCGUGUAGCAGUGAAAUGCGUAGAGAUGCGGAGGAACACCGAUGGCGAAGGCGGGUCUCUGGGCCGAUACUGACGCUGAGGAGCGAAAGCGUGGGGAGCAAACAGG
rnacentral:rRNA from 1 species